GAUCCUGGCUCAGGACGAACGCUGGCGGCGUGCUUAACACAUGCAAGUCGAACGGAAAGGCCCUGCUUUUGUGGGGUGCUCGAGUGGCGAACGGGUGAGUAACACGUGAGUAACCUGCCCUUGACUUUGGGAUAACUUCAGGAAACUGGGGCUAAUACCGGAUAGGAGCUCCUGCUGCAUGGUGGGGGUUGGAAAGUUUCGGCGGUUGGGGAUGGACUCGCGGCUUAUCAGCUUGUUGGUGGGGUAGUGGCUUACCAAGG
rnacentral:rRNA from 1 species